GAUGAACGCUGGCGGCGUGCUUAACACAUGCAAGUCGAACGAUGAAGCCCAGCUUGCUGGGUGGAUUAGUGGCGAACGGGUGAGUAACACGUGAGUAACCUGCCCUUAACUCUGGGAUAAGCCUGGGAAACUGGGUCUAAUACCGGAUAGGAGCGUCCACCGCAUGGUGGGUGGUGGAAAGAUUUAUCGGUUUUGGAUGGACUCGCGGCCUAUCAGCUUGUUGGUGAGGUAAUGGCUCACCAAGGCGACGACGGGUAGCCGGCCUGAGAGGGUGACCGGCCACACUGGGACUGAGACACGGCCCAGACUCCUACGGGAGGCAGCAGUGGGGAAUAUUGCACAAUGGGCGCAAGCCUGAUGCAGCGACGCCGCGUGAGGGAUGACGGCCUUCGGGUUGUAAACCUCUUUCAGUAGGGAAGAAGCGAAAGUGACGGUACCUGCAGAAGAAGCACCGGCUAACUACGUG
rnacentral:rRNA from 1 species